CCUACGGGAGGCAGCAGUGAGGAAUAUUGGUCAAUGGCCGUAAGGCUGAACCAGCCAAGUAGCGUGAGGGAAGACUGCCCUAUGGGUUGUAAACCUCUUUUAUGCGGGGAUAAAGGUGUCCACGUGUGGAUGUUUGCAGGUACCGCAUGAAUAAGGACCGGCUAAUUCCGUGCCAGCAGCCGCGGUAAUACGGAAGGUCCGGGCGUUAUCCGGAUUUAUUGGGUUUAAAGGAAGCGUAGGCCGGUCAUUAAGCGUGCCGUGAAAUUUUGUGGCUUAACCAGGGGAGUUCGGCUAGAACUGGAGACCUUGAGUGCGCGGAAGGAAGGCGGAAUUCGUGGUGUGGCGGUGAAAUGCUUAGAUAUCACGAGGAACCCCGAUGGCGAGGGCGGCCUGCCGCAGAGUUACUGACGCUGAAGCUCGAAAGUGCGGGUAGCGAACAGGAUUAGAUACCCUUGUAGUC
rnacentral:rRNA from 1 species